CCCAGAGAGGGAUGUGGCCAGCACUCCCAUGCUUGGCUCCUGGCCAGUGUGAAGAAAGAGCUGCAGUCUGAAAAGCUUUCCCACAGAGGGAAAGUCUCCCAUCUCAGAAAUCUCAGUUUCAAAAGCCCAUAGGGGCUCCCCUGGAGGCUGCGUGUGGACGGAGAUGGCUCAGCUGAGUGACUUGCAGCCCUGAAGGAAAUGGCCCAAAUUCUUCGGAAGAGAAGGCUGAGUCACAGGAGAAAGAGGAACCUUGCCAAGAUUUCACAGGCACCAAGUCGCACUGUGGAUGAUGCCGGCUCAGACAGAAGCUCCGAGGAGAAAGAACUCGUGAUGAGCAGGAGAGAGUGGAGGCUUCUUGCAGGGGAUCGCUCCAAAACACGGACGGAAGUUGUGUGUGGGUUUUCUGUUUUUUCCAUUUUUAAAAUCCAUCAUUAAACACUAUGGAAUGGCGUGAAGUGAACUAAGUCCUCCAACUGACUGCAUCCCUUAGGCACCCACUCUCACGAUUUCCCGCGCAUCCUUCAGGCCACGGUUAC